GAGCGGUAACAGGUGUAGCAAUACAUGCUGACGAGCGGCGAACGGGUGAGUAAUGUUUCGGAAUCUGCCCAAUGGUGGGGAAUAACCAGCCGAAAGGUUGGCUAAUACCGCAUAAGUCCUACGGGAGAAAGCGGGGGAUCGUAAGACCUCGCGCCGAUGGAUGAGCCGAAACCGGAUUAGCUAGUUGGUAGGGUAACGGCCUACCAAGGCGACGAUCCGUAGCUGGUCUGAGAGGACGACCAGCCACACUGGGACUGAGACACGGCCCAGACUCCUACGGGAGGCAGCAGUGGGGAAUAUUGGACAAUGGGGGAAACCCUGAUCCAGCGACGCCGCGUGUGUGAAGAAGGCCUGCGGGUUGUAAAGCACUUUUAGUGGGGAUGAAAAGCUCANGGGCUAAUACCGCUGAGUCUUGACCUAACCCAAAGAAAAAGCACCGGCUAACUCUGUG
rnacentral:rRNA from 1 species